UGGGGAAUAUUGCGCAAUGGGGGGAACCCUGACGCAGCGACGCCGUGUGAGGGAAGAAGGCCUUCGGGUCGUAAACCUCUGUCGGGAGGGAAGAACCGCCGGUUUCCGAACAGGGAGCCGGCCUGACGGUACCUCCGAAGGAAGCGCCGGCUAACUCCGUGCCAGCAGCCGCGGUAAUACGGAGGGCGCGAGCGUUAAUCGGAAUCACUGGGCGUAAAGCGCGCGUAGGCGGCCAGAUAAGUCGGGCGUGAAAGCCCUCGGCUCAACCGAGGAAUUGCGUUCGAUACUGUGUGGCUUGAGUCCUGGAGAGGGUGGCGGAAUUCCGGGUGUAGGAGUGAAACCCGUAGAUAUCCGGAGGAACACCGGUGGCGAAGGCGGCCACCUGGACAGGUACUGACGCUGAGGUGCGAAAGCGUGGGGAGCAAACAG
rnacentral:rRNA from 1 species